GUUGUCUGUCGUCGUCGUUAACUUUUUACAUUUUGAACUUCUUCUAGAGAACCACUAAAUGAAACGAAACCAAACAUGGCAUGGAUGUUCCUUAUGAGGUGCUGACCAAGUGUUGUUACUUUGUAGCCGAUCCGUCAUCUAAGAUGGACGCCAGGGGGGGAUUUAGUUUAACAUAGGACCCUAUGGGAAAUGCAUACAAAUGACUUCUUUUAGAGAACCACUGAAUGGAAUGAAACCAAACAUAGCAUGAAUGUUCCUUAUGAGGUGCUGACCAAGUGUUGUUACUUUGUAGCCGAUCCAGCAUCCAAGAUGGACGCCAGCGGGGGACUUAGUUUAACAUAGGACCCUAUGGGAAAUGCAUACAAAUGACUUCUUUUAAAGAACCACUGAAUGGAAUGAAACCAAACAUAGCAUGAAUGUUCCUUAUGAGGUACUGACCAAGUGUUGUUACUUUGUAGCCGAUCCAUCAUCCAAGAUUGCCGCCAACAGAAUUCUUAGUUUAACAUAGGACCCUAUGGAAAAUACAUACAAAUUUCUUCUUUUAGAGAACCACUGAAUUGAAUGAAACCAAACAUGUUUGUUCCUUUCCUUUUGAGGUGCUGGCCAAGUGUUGUUACUUUGUAGCCAAAUUUUAUCUUUUUUUAUAUAAUUUCAAAAACCCAAGAAAAGUCAGGUGAGCGAU
rnacentral:lncRNA from 1 species